CUUACCUUUCAUCAUCUUCAACCCUAACGUUCAUCAUGAAAUUUGGUUUUCAUGAAAUUAAGCACCAUAAGAUUAGGGUUUAGUAAAAUCAAAUUAGGUUCGAGGUUGGAGUUAAAGGCAUCUCCCGAAAACUGUUCACCACCGUCAUUUUCUUGUGAAGCGAUGUGAGGGAUUUGGGGGUGUCGAGGUCGAUUAUUUGGGGUUUGGAGUCGAAUUCGAAAAGGGGUAAUUGAAUUUGAGGGUGGAAGAGCUUAGUGAGGUCGUGAUCGAAGGAGAGGCAAGAAUCAAAGGAAGAAGAUUGAGAAGGGCUUUGAUUGGUUUGAUUAAAUUGGAAGGAAGGUUGUUUAUUUUGGGGAGUGGCGAGUGGAGAGAGUUCACCUAAAAGAUGCAACUUGAUGCGAUUCAAAGCUAAAAUUUUAGUUGCAUUGGCAAUGGUUGGUCGAAUUGGUCCGAUGAAGUGGAUUUGGUGUUCCUUACGAUUAGAGAUGGUGGCAUUUCGUAGGUUCCAUGGAGAUUUGAAAGUCUCACGUUUUGUGUCCAGCGCGAUUUAGGGUUCGUGGCUAAUUUGGGGGUUUUCAGAUUUGUGAUUUUGUUUUCUCUUUACAGGUUUCAAAUGGUUUAACGGAGAAGAAAAUAGAUGAUGAUGAGCUCGAUUACGGCGCGAAGAGUUUGAGCGUUGGUUACGUUGGCCAUGGUGGCGAUUUGCCCUCGCGGUGGAUGGUGCACGAGGAUGAUAUGGUGGUUCUAAGGCGCGAUAUGGUUCUCUGAUGAUGGCUAUUGUUGUGUAAUGUGCAAGAAUUACAGAUGUUGGAAUGAAAGCUAUUACUGAAUUAAGGAUCUGAGUGAUGGACAGGAAGAGGAUUUUUGGGUGGUGCUUGACUAUAAUGGAAGAUGAC
rnacentral:sRNA from 1 species